rnacentral:lncRNA from 1 species
CCAAAUGCAGAGAAGAGCUCAUACCUCUAUUCCAUAGAAAUCACACUGUGGACCGUGGUGCCUGCUGUUCAGGCCUUGGAGAAGAAAAGUGGAUUCUUGCCUGGCCCGCUUGCUGACUCUGGAGGGAUGCUCAGGGACAGCAGAGAAGAAGCUGGCUGACUGUGAGAAGACAGCUGUGGAGUUCAGCAGCCAGCUGGAGGGCAAGUUGGCCGUGCUGGGGACCCUGCCUCAGGAGUCUAGGCUGCUGCAUGAAGAACCUCAUGGGCAACUGGAACUUCUGGGUCCAGCGGCUUCCCCCUGGCAACAAGGGGGAGGUCCCCAAGGUGCCCCUGACCUUUGAUGACAUGGCUGUAUAUUUCUCUGAAUUAGAGUGGGCCAAGCUGGAGGACUGGCAGAAGAGGCUCGACAAGCAUGUGAUGGGGGCAGCUAUGAGAUGCUCGUUUCCCUGGAUUAUGCCAUCUCCAAACCGGUCAUUCUCACCCAGAUAGAGAGGGGAGAAGAGCCUUGUCCUGCAGGCCCCUGGGGCCAGGAGAAGGGGGGUGAGGAGAAGACAAUAUGUCAAAGGAAACCAAACACCAGUAUUUCUCUGAGUCCAGAGCAGGCCCCAAGUCCAGCUAGCCCUGCCCAGGAGGAACUGAAUCAAAGGCAGACACCUGAGCAGCAGCAAGAG